rnacentral:rRNA from 1 species
UACGAAGGGGGCUAGCGUUGCUCGGAAUGACUGGGCGUAAAGGGCGCGUAGGCGGAUGGCACAGUCAGAUGUGAAAGCCCCCGGGCUCAACCUGGGAAUGGCAAUGGAUACUGGCAGGCUAGAGUGCGGUAGAGGGUAGUGGAAUUCCCGGUGUAGCGGUGAAAUGCGUAGAGAUCGGGAGGAACACCAGUGGCGAAGGCGGCUACCUGGACCAGCACUGACACUGAGGCACGAAAGCGUGGGGAGCAAACAGG